UGCAAGUCGAGCGGGGGUUGUUUAGAAGCUUGCUUCUAAACAACCUAGCGGCGGACGGGUGAGUAACACGUAGGCAACCUGCCCACAAGACAGGGAUAACUACCGGAAACGGUAGCUAAUACCCGAUACAUCCUUUUCCUGCAUGGGAGAAGGAGGAAAGACGGAGCAAUCUGUCACUUGUGGAUGGGCCUGCGGCGCAUUAGCUAGUUGGUGGGGUAAAGGCCUACCAAGGCGACGAUGCGUAGCCGACCUGAGAGGGUGAUCGGCCACACUGGGACUGAGACACGGCCCAGACUCCUACGGGAGGCAGCAGUAGGGAAUCUUCCGCAAUGGGCGAAAGCCUGACGGAGCAACGCCGCGUGAGUGAUGAAGGUUUUCGGAUCGUAAAGCUCUGUUGCCAGGGAAGAACGUCUUGUAGAGUAACUGCUACAAGAGUGACGGUACCUGAGAAGAAAGCCCCGGCUAACUACGUGCCAGCAG
rnacentral:rRNA from 1 species